UCAAGUGAUAUUUUAAAAUUUCCUGUCAACUUUCAACAUUUUUUAACUGAAAAACACGGCAGGCUACUGGACGAAUGACUGCCCUGGCGCCCAACCACCAGGCUUAGCAAGUUUUCUGAGGGAAACCUUGAUGUUACACUGGAAAAAAAA